rnacentral:rRNA from 1 species
GCGGAGGAAAAGAAAAUAACUAUGAUUCCCUCAGUAACGGCGAGUGAAGCGGGAAGAGCUCAUUCUGUGAAUCUGUAUGCUCUUUUGGUAUACCGAGUUGUAGAAUAUAGAAGCACAUCAGUGCGAAUUCCGGUCUAAGUCUCUUGGAAAAGAGCAGCUAAGAGGGUGAGACUCCCGUUCUUGGCUGGAAUUCAAACUUUAGCAUGUGGUUUCGACGAGUCGAGUUGCUUGGGAUUGCAGCUCAAAGUUGGUGGUAAAUUCCAUCUAAAGCUAAAUAUCGGUGGGAGACCGAUAGCGUACAAGUACCGUGAGGGAAAGAUGCAAAGAACUUUGAAAAAAGAGUUAAAGAGUACCUGAAAUUGCUGAAAUGGAAGCGAAGGAAACCAGUGCCGUUCUGUAUCAUUCUUCCGUCCUUGCUUGCGAGGGUGGCGCUGUGAUGCAGGAUAGGCCAGCGUGGGUUUGAGCCGAAGGAAGCAGCUCUUCAGGAGGCAGCGCAAUUUCUGUGCGAUUACUGUUGAGCUUUGCUUCGGCUUGGACUGAGGCUAGUCACUUGUGCUCGUGACGCUGGCGAAAUGGUUUUCUUUACCCCGUCUUGAAACACGGACCAAGGAGUCUAACAUAUGUGCGAGUAUAUGAGUGACAAACUCACAUGCGAAAUGAAAGUAACAGUGGUUGGACCUUCUGGGCACAAUCCGCCGGCCACAAUCCUUCGGGAGAAAGGUCUGAGUGUGAGCAUACAUGUUGGGACCCGAAAGAUGGUGAACUAUGCCUGAAUAGGGUGAAGCCGCG